rnacentral:rRNA from 1 species
GGGGAUCUGCCCGAUAGAGGGGGAUAACCACUGGAAACGGUGGCUAAUACCGCAUAACGUCGCAAGACCAAAGAGGGGGACCUUCGGGCCUCUCACUAUCGGAUGAACCCAGAUGGGAUUAGCUAGUAGGCGGGGUAAUGGCCCACCUAGGCGACGAUCCCUAGCUGGUCUGAGAGGAUGACCAGCCACACUGGAACUGAGACACGGUCCAGACUCCUACGGGAGGCAGCAGUGGGGAAUAUUGCACAAUGGGCGCAAGCCUGAUGCAGCCAUGCCGCGUGUAUGAAGAAGGCCUUCGGGUUGUAAAGUACUUUCAGCGGGGAGGAAGGCGGUGAGGUUAAUAACCUUACCGAUUGACGUUACCCGCAGAAGAAGCACCGGCUAACUCCGUGCCAGCAGCCGCGGUAAUACGGAGGGUGCAAGCGUUAAUCGGAAUUACUGGGCGUAAAGCGCACGCAGGCGGUCUGUUAAGUCAGAUGUGAAAUCCCCGGGCUUAACCUGGGAGCUGCAUUUGAAACUGGCAGGCUUGAGUCUUGUAGAGGGGGGUAGAAUUCCAGGU